CCUAGCGCCUAGGAGUACUAGGUGGGCACCUAGAGAGAUUUAAGUAAAUCUAUUAUAUUUCGUGUAAAUAAAUGUCUAUUUAUACUUAAUAUAUAUAUAUAUAUAAUUUCAUCAUAAACUACAAAAAUAGAAUAACAUACAUAUUAUGAACUAUUAGAACAUAAUGAAAACAUGGGGAACCAUGAUAUAAGUGUGUCCAUUAAGUAUGCAACAAGUCUCUUACAAUUUAUUGAAAAAAAAUAAAAAUGCAAAAUGAAAAGUUAUAUAUUUUCUGUCUAAGUGAAUCAUGACCUAGGUGGGUCUGGGUGGCUAGGCUGGCACCUCAGCAAGUCUACGCGCCAUUUCUUAAUUUUCAAACACUUAGGCAUUACUCAGGACGGUGGCCAGCCAUUUAGCGCCUAGGGCGAGGCCUAAACGGCACUAGGUGGGGAUUUUUAGAACAGUGCUUAUACUUACUCAGCAACAACCAAUGAUUGCUUGAAGGUGUUCGGAAGAGCUACCAAAUAAUGCCGGUGAGUCCAAGAAUUUUCCUACGAAUGGGCGACGUGCUAAGAGCAUCUCCAAAUGAGCUAUCAAAAUGCCCAAAUCAGCUUUAAUAGUCAUAAAAGGCAGCAACAAAAUUUUCCAACAAAGAAGUCAAAUCUGAUGUGGCAUGACAUGAAAUGACAGCGCACCUUGCUUUCAAAUUUGACAGCAACGUCAAAUAUUUCUUCGCCGAGCUCCUACUUCUUCCCCCAUUUUCUGAUUCGCCGGUACAUAUAUUCUUCUUAGCCGAGCUCCUACUUCUUCCCCCAUUUUCUGAUUCACCGAUACAAAUAUUCUUUUUCACGAGCUCCUACUUCUUCCCCCAUUUUCUGAUUCGCCGAUACUACC
rnacentral:lncRNA from 1 species